UUAGCUUGCUUUUGAAGAUCAGCGGCGGACGGGUGAGUAACACGUGGGCAACCUGCCUGUAAGACUGGGAUAACUUCGGGAAACCGGAGCUAAUACCGGAUAAUCCUUUUCCUCACAUGAGGGAAAGCUGAAAGACGGUUUCGGCUGUCACUUACAGAUGGGCCCGCGGCGCAUUAGCUAGUUGGUGAGGUAACGGCUCACCAAGGCAACGAUGCGUAGCCGACCUGAGAGGGUGAUCGGCCACACUGGGACUGAGACACGGCCCAGACUCCUACGGGAGGCAGCAGUAGGGAAUCUUCCGCAAUGGACGAAAGUCUGACGGAGCAACGCCGCGUGAACGAUGAAGGCCUUCGGGUCGUAAAGUUCUGUUGUCAGGGAAGAACAAGUACCGGAGUAACUGCCGGUACCUUGACGGUACCUGACCAGAAAGCCACGGCUAACUACGUGCCAGCAGCCGCGGUAAUACGUAGGUGGCAAGCGUUGUCCGGAAUUAUUGGGCGUAAAGCGCGCGCAGGCGGUUCCUUAAGUCUGAUGUGAAAGCCCCCGGCUCAACCGGGGAGGGUCAUUGGAAACUGGGGAACUUGAGUGCA
rnacentral:rRNA from 1 species